rnacentral:rRNA from 1 species
GUAACACUCCCUCUCCCCUAUGCUAGGUCGGUUGUUAGGAUCAAUUUCCCCAUUGCUCAACGGACCCUCAAUGUUGAGUCGGUUCUGGACGCAUGGAUGAGGCUGGUAGUUCAGGCGGCAGCACUAAUAGAUGUGAUUCAGGCAUGUCUCAUGUUCAUGCACAGGAGAGUUGUUCAUCAUGGUGAGAGACUUGUCAUCAGUUAUGCUCCAAUGCUUAUGCGGGAGCAGGAGAAGAUCGCCAAUCUGAACUACAUCUACAACUGCAACGACACAGAGACACUAUGGAUGUUUCGAAUGAAAAGAGCAACAUUUGCCAGACUUUUCUAGACCUUUAGGAGUAGGGGGCUGCUACAAGAUAGCAUCCACACCAGUGUGGAAGAGCAAGUGGCCAUGUUCCUCCAUGUUGUUGACCAUAACCAGAGGUUCAGGGUUGUGCACAACACGUUCAGGAGAUCAAUGGAGAUCAUCUCAAGGUACUUCAAGCAAGUGCUCUAUGCUGUUGGGGAGCUCAGAGGAGAGAUGAUCAAGUCAUCAACCGGUCUGACACCUACCAAGAUUUUCACUAGCCCAAGAUGGUAUCCAUACUUCAAGGUGAGCACUGAUGGUAUGUACUUCAUGGCUUGA